rnacentral:lncRNA from 1 species
GACAAUGAUUACUUCAUCACAGAAGAUAACGUGGGGAUGCUUAAGUUGGCUAAAGAAGCAAACUCAAUCCUGGUACGUUUGAUUUUGAUCUACUUUUACCUGAAACGACAUUGAUUAAUUUGAUUGAUGCAGCCGCGCACUAAUCACCUGGUGUGGGAUUAUCCAUGCCUAACCUUUUCUAGUUUUGAAAUUUGAGCAGUUUGAUUACCGUAUCCCGACAGUUGGCACCUGCGGUGCAGCUGUGGACAGCCAUUUGCAGAUGAACGGGCUCCCGAUCAGCGUCUACGCACCGGAGACAGUUGGGUGUGUGGUGGUUGACAAGGAGGGUCGGUGCGCUGCAGGCACUUCAACUGGUGG